rnacentral:tRNA from 1 species
GCGAUCGUGGUGUAAUGGACAAGCAUAUGGGUCUUCCAAUCCUUUGGUACGAGUUCGAAUCUCGUCGAUCGCU